rnacentral:rRNA from 1 species
UACGGAGGGUGCAAGCAUUAAUCGGAUUUAUUGGGCGUAAAGGGCGCGUAGGCGGGCAGAUAAGUCAGAUGUGAAAGCCCAGGGCUCAACCUUGGAAUUGCAUUUGAAACUGUUUUUCUAGAGGGUAGGCGGAGAAAACAGAAUUCCACAUGUAGCGGUGAAAUGCGUAGAUAUGUGGAGGAAUACCGGUGGCGAAGGCGGUUUUCUAGCUUAUUCCUGACGCUAAUGCGCGAAAGCAAGGGGAGCAAACAGG